rnacentral:rRNA from 1 species
ACGAGAUCGUAGGGUAACUUGCGAUCUAGUGGCGGAAGGGUUAGUAAUACAUGAAUAACCUACCUUUAACCUGGGGAUAACGGCUGGAAACGGCCGCUAAUACCGAAUGAGGUGAGCGAAGGGAAUCCUUUGCGCAUCAAAGUAGGGGACCGUGAAAGCGGCCUUGCGGUUGAAGAGGGGUUCAUGGGAUAUCAGCUAGUUGGUAGGGUAAAGGCCUACCAAGG